UCUCCGUAGGUGAACCUGCGGAGGGAUCAUUACAGAGUUCUCGCCCUCGCGGGUAGAUCUCCCACCCACUGUUAUCGCUACUGUGUUGCUUUGGCGGGCCGCCAGGCCCCGCUCGGCCGCCGGCUCCGGCUGGCGCGCGCCCGCCAGAGGCCCAGCAAACUCUGAAUGUUAGUGUCGUCUGAGUACUAUAUAAUAGUUAAAACUUUCAACAACGGAUCUCUUGGUUCUG
rnacentral:misc_RNA from 1 species